UAGGGAAUCUUCGGCAAUGGACGGAAGUCUGACCGAGCAACGCCGCGUGAGUGAAGAAGGUUUUCGGAUCGUAAAGCUCUGUUGUAAGAGAAGAACGAGUGUGAGAGUGGAAAGUUCACACUGUGACGGUAUCUUACCAGAAGGGGACGGCUAACUACGUGCCAGCAGCCGCGGUAAUACGUAGGUCCCGAGCGUUGUCCGGAUUUAUUGGGCGCAAAGCGAGCGCAGGCGGUUAGAUAAGUCUGAAGUUAAAGGCUGUGGCUUAACCAUAGUAGGCUUUGGAAACUGUUUAACUUGAGUGCAAGAGGGGAGAGUGGAAUUCCAUGUGUAGCGGUGAAAUGCGUAGAUAUAUGGAGGAACACCGGUGGCGAAAGCGGCUCUCUGGCUUGUAACUGACGCUGAGGCUCGAAAGCGUGGGGAGCAAACAGGAUUAGAUACCCUGGUAGUCCACGCUGUAAACGAUGAGUGCUAGGUGUUAGACCCUUUCCGGGGUUUAGUGCCGUAGCUAACGCAUUAAGCACUCCGCCUGGGGAGUACGACCGCAAGGUUG
rnacentral:rRNA from 1 species